UACGUAGGGUGCAAGCGUUGUCCGGAUUCAUUGGGCGUAAAGAGCGUGUAGGCGGCCAGGUAGGUCGGUUGUGAAAACUGGAGGCUCAACCUUCAGACGUCGACCGAAACCAUCUGGCUAGAGUCCGGGAGAGGAGAGUGGAAUUCCUGGUGUAGCGGUGAAAUGCGCAGAUAUCAGGAAGAACACCCGUGGCGAAAGCGGCUCUCUGGAACGGUACUGACGCUGAGACGCGAAAAGCGUGGGGAGCGAACAGG
rnacentral:rRNA from 1 species